UCUCUCUCUCUCUCUCUCUCUCUCUCACCGUUUUCGAUUCCACCACCAUUGCGCUCGCUCUCUAUUGUCACCGCCGUCGCCGAUUGCUCUCCGUUGUCACCGCCGUCGCCGAUUACUAUCUGUUGUCACCGCUGUCGCCGAUUACUAUCUGUUGUCACCGCCUUCUCCAUUGCCAAAUCAUCUGCAUUGCGUUUCGGUAACGUCACACUCCGAUUUCUGGAUUCACUUUUGGUCUCCAAACACGUGAAAUCCUUCUACGAGUUGUUUGGCUUUGAGAUACGAGGCUUUAGUUAUUCGAGAAAUCAAAUCCUCUAGGUUUCAAUUGCUUCAAGUUUCGCCCGUAGAAUGGUUAAAAUUUGUGGAGGAUGCUGUGCAGAACGGUUUUCAUGCAGAUGCAGACUUGCAGUUAAGGCUUUCUUUGACUUCACUGUCCCUUCUGUUUGAUCUUCCUGAGUUCUCUCACCUUGGCUGGGGCCACUGGUUUACAUUGAGGGACUUAGAACUUGCAACAAACAAGUUUUCAAAAGCGAAUAUUAUUGGUGAAGGGGGAUAUGGAGUUGUUUAUCAAGGCCAGCUGAUCAAUGGGAAUCCAGUGGCUAUUAAGAUGCUACUAAAUAAUCUUGGACAAGCUGAAAAGGAAUUUAGAGUGGAUGUUUAGGCUAUUGGGCAUGUGAGGCACAAGAACUUGGUUAGACUUUUGGGUUUUUACAUUGAAGGCAGUCGUAGGCUGGCUUACUUGCACGAAGGCUCACAAGUCGACAUUGGAGGCUGCCAUUACCGAGUACAUGCAUCAACCAAAACAGAGGGUGAGACUCUUGUCAUGGAAGACAAGACAACUUUUGGAGGUUCGGCUGAUACGUUACAAUCUGGGUUAUUUUAAUGUGUCUAUUUUGUGGUAUGAGAGCAAGGACUUGGGUAGUGUCUAUUAUCAGAUGGUUGAAGGGCAAGAUGGAUCUUGGGUUAGUCUUGUGGAGGAUUGUAUCUGACAUUACUAAGGGAUAGGAAGGUCCUUAAGAAGAUCUUAAAGGAAGGAGAGGGAUAUGAAAGACCAAAUGAUGGAGCUAUGGUUCUAGGUACAGUUUUGCUAAUAAAAGCUUUUAAAGGUUUUUGUACUUUGAUUUCAUUUGUAAAGGUGAGAAUAUUAUGUCUUCAUUUUCAUUAGGUUUUUUAGUUUUGACAAAGUUAGAAGAUAUACUUGAUUACCUAUAUAAUGCUAACAUGU